rnacentral:rRNA from 1 species
GACGAACGCUGGCGGCGUGCUUAACACAUGCAAGUCGAACGGUAAGGCCCUUCGGGGUACACGAGUGGCGAACGGGUGAGUAACACGUGGGUGAUCUGCCCUGCACUUCGGGAUAAGCCUGGGAAACUGGGUCUAAUACCGGAUCGGACUCCUGGCUUCAUGGUUGGGGGUGGAAAGCUUUUGCGGUGUGGGAUGGGCCCGCGGCCUAUCAGCUUGUUGGUGGGGUAAUGGCCUACCAAGGCGACGACGGGUAGCCGGCCUGAGAGGGUGACCGGUCACACUGGGACUGAGAUACGGCCCAGACUCCUACGGGAGGCAGCAGUGGGAAAUAUUGCACAAUGGGCGCAAGCCUGAUGCAGCGACGCCGCGUGAGGGAUGACGGCCUUCGGGUUGUAAACCUCUUUCAGCUAUGACGAAGCGCAAGUGACGGUAGUAGCAGAAGAAGGACCGGCCAACUACGUGCCAGCCGCCGCUGUAA